ACAUCUAUGUGCUUUGGUGCCCCCAUUUGCUUUGAUUUGGAGUUUAGGAUGAGAGACGUUGAGCUCCAAACUCAGACUAAGAAACUAUAAGAAAUAUGCUUCAAUGCAGAAGCUGUUCAAAAAUGAGUAAGAUUGUUUCCUUGAGGCAAGAAAGAAAUGUAGAAGUCUUGACAAACAAAAGAAGAGAUUGCCUUAGGGAAAGGGACGACAGUGAACGCUGAGAACUUCUUCCCACGCUAAGACAAUCUUUAAAAGUGGAGACCUAUUCUGUUGGGUUAGAGAAGACAGAAAAUCUUAUUUUUCGGUUGGUUUGUUUGUUCAAGAAUACACUGACCUUCUACAAGAAAGGAGAGCUCUUUGACACCUGGAAAUAAGCUUGGGACAGCUCUGAAUGGCAACACAGUCCUGAGAUGUGUGAUUACCUGGGACUUUCACUAGACCUGCAUUUCAGCUCUACUCUCCUCACUGCCCUAUGCUGCUUUGACCCUAAAAGUGAAGCCAGCUCUGCCAGGCGCAGUGGCUCACGCCUGUAAUCCCAGCACUUUGGGAGGAUGAGGCGGGCAGAUCAAGAAGUCAGGAA